rnacentral:rRNA from 1 species
CCCCACGUUCGGAUUGCAGCCUGCAACUCGGCUGCAUGAAGCUGGAAUCGCUAGUAAUCGCGGAUCAGAAUGCCGCGGUGAAUACGUUCCCGGGUCUUGUACACACCGCCCGUCACACCAUGGGAGCCGGGAAUGCCCGAAGUCAGUGGCCCAACCGCAGGGAGGGAGCUGCCGAAGGCAGGCCUGGUGACUGGGGUGAAGUCGUAACAAGGUACC